GCGCAUAUAGUAUAGUGGUUAGUACAGAACCCUUCCAAGGUUCAAGGCGGGGUUCAAUUCCCCGUGUGCGCA
rnacentral:tRNA from 1 species